rfam:Ficedula albicollis isolate OC2 chromosome 4, whole genome shotgun sequence.
AAUGAGGCUUUCUUAAAAGCCACAGAGAAAGACAGCAUGUUACUUU